GAUGCUUUAGCACAUGCAAGUCGAACGGCAGCACGGACUUCGGUCUGGUGGUGAGUGGCGAACGGGUGAGUAAUGUGAUUGGAACGUGCUCAGUAGCGGGGAUAACUACGCGAAAGCACUACCGCAUACGCCCUUCGGGGGAAAGCGGGGGUUCCCGGCCUCGCACUAUUAGAGCGCCGAUAUCGGAUUAGCUAGUUGGUGGGGUAACGGCUCACCAAGGCGACGAUCCGUAGCUGGUUUGAGAGGACGACCAGCCACACUGGGACUGAGACACGGCCCAGACUCCUACGGUGGAGGCAGUGGGGAAUUUUGGACAAUGGGGAAACUCCCGAUCCAGCCAUCCCUGCGUGUGCGAUGAAGGCCUUCAUGGUUGUAAAGCACUUUUGGCAGGGAAAGAAACGGCACGGGAUAGCCACCCUUGUGCAACUGACGGUACCUGCAGAAUAAGCACCGGCUAACUACAUGCCAGCAGUCAGUAAUACGUAGGGUGUAAAAGCGCUAAUCGGAAUUACUGGGCGUAAAGCGUGCGCAGGCGGUUCGGAAAGAAGAUGUGAAAAUCCCAGAGCUUAACUUUGGAACUGCAUUUUUAACUACCAUGAGCCAGAGUGUGUCAGAGGGAGGUAGAAUUCCGCGUGUAGCAGUGAAAUGCGUGAUAUGCGUGGAGGAACACCGAUGGCGAAGGUAGCCUCUGGGAUAACACUGACGCUCAUGCACGAAAGCGUGGGAGCAAACAGGAUUAGAUACCCUGGUAUCCACGCCCUAAACGAUGCCAAUUAGCUGUUGGGGCUUUCGGGCCUUGGUAGCGUAUAGCUAACGCGGUGAAGUUGACCGCCUGGGGAGUACGGUCGCAGAUUAAAACUCAAAGGAAUUGACGGGACCCGCACGCGUGGAUGAUGGGAUUACUGAUGCAAACGCGAAAAACCUUACCUACUCCUUGACAUGUCUGGAAUCCCGGAAGAGAUUUGGGAGUGCUCGCAAGAGAACCGGAACACAGGUGCUGCAUGGCUUGCCGUCAGCUUCCGUGUCGUGAGAUGUUGGGUUAAGUCCCGCAACGAGCGCAACCCUUGUCAGCGAGUUGCUGGGCCAAAGGGCACUCUAUCGAGACUGUUGGUGACAACCGGAGGAAGGUGGGGAUGACGUCAAGUCCUCAUGGCCCUUAUGGGUAGGGCUUCACGUCAUACAAUGGUCAGACAGAGGGUCGCCAACCCGCGAGGGGGAGCCAAUCCAGAAACCCGAUCGUAGUCCGAUCGCAGUCUGCAACUCGACUGCGUGAAGUCGGAAUCGGCAAAAUCGCGGAUCAGCAUGUCGCGGUGAAUACGUUCCGGUCUUGUACACACUGCCCGUCACACCAUGGGAGUGGGUUUUACCAGAAGUAGUUAGCCUAACCGUAAGGAGGGCGAUUACCAUGGUAGGAUUCAUGACUGGGGUGAAGUCGUAACAAGGUAA
rnacentral:rRNA from 1 species